UAAAAUCAAUUUACCAAUCUCAAUCCCGCAACCCGCAACGUCUCACGUCCUCUUUAGCCCCACAAUAACACUUGGUUUUAACCAAUUUCGGGCACGAGGGGCAGGGCCCUGGGUGACACAACAACAAGCAUUCGUGCCCACAAUUGUAUGUCAACGGCCUACCACAGAUUUCUCCACAAGAACUUAUGAGGUGGGUUUUCGAGUUUUCCACAAAAACAAUAGUAAUACUUGGGGGUCUGCGAUUUGGGAUACUCGAUCCGGCAUUUGGGGCAAUGCCAGCGGAGGGUGUCAUCGUUAAGAGUGGCGGCGCGUGAGGCAGCCCGUGCAGCUGCAAGAUUUGAGGAUUGGUGGGCCCAGGAUUGGAUACAGAGGAGGUGGAAGACUGCGAAGCAGCGGGAGGAGCAGGACCAGGUGGGAUCGGUGGGUUUGAUCCGUUCAAGGCAUAUGAGGCAUGAGAGAGCCCCUCAGGAACGAUUGGAUCUUUAUCAGGUCUUGAUGUUGAGGGGAGGAUUGGUGACCGGUGAGUUCGAGGUAGGAUUUAAAGAUGGAGGAGAGGUCAGUGAGUUGGUGCUAGCGGGAACUGGUGCCGGAGUCGGAAUCUGAGUCGGAGGACGGUGGAGAAAGUGGCGGUAGGAGGGUAGUGUUGGAGGUCGCCAUUACGGGCCUUCCUGCGGAAACGAGGGUUUGGGAUUGAGACAAUCUAUGACUUCACCUAUUCCAAUAAUCUUUCGGACAUUUUUGCCCCUUUACUAUAUUCCUCCACUACAUAUUGACCCUGUUACCGGGUGAGGAACCGCUGAAAUUCGAUAAAAUGACUUCGCUGGAGAGUUUUUGCGAGUUUAGUGACCUUUUCGGCCACAAAAAAAGUUUAAUGACCAGAGGAACCUGGAGAAGCAGAAGAGGAGUUUGCUCGUGUUGACACUGCAAGGAUAAUAAAGAAGUUCUUAACAUCUCGAAGACCAGGCCCUCUGUGUGUACCUAAAGAGGUAGGAUUUGGAGGCUCACCUCAUAACCCAAUCCAAUUGCCCUCUUGGUUAUCUGAAGAUGAUGUCAAUUACUUCGCCAGCAAGUUCAGCCAGAAGGGCUUCACAGGUGGAUUGAACUACUAUCGAGCUAUGGAUCUAAAUUGGGAGCUCACAGCUCCUUGGACAGGAUUGCAAAUAAAGGUGCCUGUUAAGUUUAUUGUGGGAGAUCUUGACGUGACUUUCACUACCCCGGGUGUGAAGGAAUAUAUCCAGAAGGGUGGAUUUAAAAGAGACGUGCCGUUCUUGCAGGAAUUAGUUGUAAUGGAAGGAGUGGCUCACUUUGUUAACCAGGAAAAGCCAGAGGAAGUUAGUGCCCACAUCUAUGACUUUAUCCAAAAGUUUUAGUACUUUUUCACCAUUCGCAAAUGUCAUUUUACUGCAUCUCCUAGUUGUGAUCUUUUAAAGGUGUCGUGUUUGGAAUAGGAUAUCCUAUAAAUAUCCAUGGGACGGUAGACUGUUCCUGGUCAGGAUAUUGCUUAUUUCCUUCCAAGAAAUAAAGAAGUUCGUAGUUUGUUUUUUUUUUGUGUCGAGAAUAUUGUUACUUCAAUAAAAGAUGUGUAAAUAUCUUGAGAAAA